GGGCGAUUAGCUCAGCCGGUUAGAGCGCCAUCUUUACACGGUGGAUGUCGGGGGUUCGAAUCCCUCAUCGCCCA
rnacentral:tRNA from 1 species